AUCACCUGGACACCUUGUUAAAAUGCAGAUUCUAUUUCAGCAGAUCUGGGAGGCGCCUGAGAUUUUGCAUUUCUAGCAUGCAUCCUGGUGAUGUUGA
rnacentral:pre_miRNA from 1 species